rnacentral:pre_miRNA from 1 species
ACAACGUUCGGACCGUCAGUCUACCGAGCAAACAUCACUGGCUCGGUGGAAGAUCUUCCCUUUGUCGU